AAAAAAAAAAACCAAAAAAAAAAAAAAAAAAAAUAAAUAUCCCGGCUCGGAAUUGCGGGAGUUCGUCCCGUGACACCGCCCAAAAUCUGGGAGGGGACAGAGGGAAAAAUUCCUUUCAAUAAAAACUCAAAUUUUAAAAAA